UUUUUACGUGUGUUAGGCUGCAUGUGUUUCCCUUGCCUUCUGCCCUAUAACAAACACAAAUCAAACUUUCGAUCAACCCCGUGUACAUUCAUUGGUUACAGUCAUAACCACAAAGGGUAUAAGUGCUUAGCACCUGAUGGAAUGAUUUUCAUAUCUCGUCAUGUAGUGUUCAAUGAGAAAACUUUACCUUAUGCUUCACAAAAGUCUUCUACAAUUUCUAGUGUCAGUCAACCUCCUCCAGUCAUAUGUCCACCUAUGCAAUCAACUCAUCUUGGACAAUCUUCUACUACUUCUUUGCUAAGAACAUUACCAACCAUGAUUUCUCACAGCAAAACUCACUAGCACCUCACUCCCUAACACACUCUAUGUCAUCGUCGUUCCCUAGUGAAUCAACUACCGAGCUAGAACCAUUGCCUGCUAUCCUGCCUUCACCAUCAGAAUCAUCAUCUAUGUCUCCACCACCUACUAACACUCAUCAUAUGGUCACACGAUCCAAGGCUGGAAUCUUUAAACCUAAAGUUCUUCUCACGACCGACCUACAAAACAACAAACCAAACUCUUUCAAAGAAGCUCUCAAAUGUCCUCAAUGGAAUAUGGCAAUGCAUGAGGAAUAUACUGCAUUAAUUAACAAUGGUAUUUGGAACUUAGUCUCUUUGCUCCCAGACAGAAAGUUGAUUGGCAACAAAUGGGUGUUUAAACUCAAGAGAAAUCCUGAUGGUUCUAUCUCUCGAUACAAGGUGCGACUAGUUGCAAAAGGUUACCAUCAAUUUCCUGGCUUUGAUUACUCAGAUGUUUUUAGUCCUGUAGUGAAACCAGUAACCAUACGUGCGGUUCUCUCCAUUGUUAUUACUCGUGGAUGGCAGGUACGUCAACUUGAUGUAAAUAAUGUAUUUCUUAAUGGCAUAUUGCUUGAAGAUAUAUAUAUAUAUAUAUAUGGCUCAACCCCCUAGAUUUGAAGCUCCUGCACCACAUGAUAGGUUGGUCUGUAAGCUCAAUAAAGCUUUGUAUAGAUUAAAACAAGCCUCUCGAGUGUGGUUUGAUCGUUUGAAAACUUACCUAUUGUCUCUUGGUUUUCAUGCUUCUCGAGCAGAUACUUCUCUUGUUAUCAAAUGCAAUGACACAUUGUGUGUGUAGAUGAUAUAUUGAUUACUAGUAGCAGCAGUCCAAAAAUUGAGUAUCUGAUUUCUUAUUUACACUCUGAAUUUUCCUUGAAAGAUCUGGGAAGUCUUCAUUAUUUUUUAGGGAUUGAGGUGAAACAUACUACUACUGGUAGUCUGUUAUUGUCUCAAGAGAGGUAUAUCAAGGAUCUCCUCGAUCUAGUUAAGAUGAGCAAUUCUAAACCACAACCAACACCCAUGGUGGCAAGUCUGUCCUUCACUUCCUCUUAUGGUGAUCCAUUUGGAGAUCCAACUUUACAUCGAAGCACUGUUGGGACAUUGCAAUACGUAACAAUCACUAGGCCUGAAAUAGCAUGUUGUGUAAAUAAAGUAUGUCAAUUCAUGCAAUCUCCUCUUGAACCGCAUUGGAAGGCAAUUAAACGCAUUCUUCGAUAUCUUUGUGGUACUGCAAAUCAUGGUCUCCACUUCUCCAAGUCAAAUAACCUUUAUCUUCAUGGAUUUUCAGAUUCUGAUUGGGCACGGGACUUAGAUGACCAUCGCUCCACUUCUGGUUAUUGUUUAUUUCUUGGAGAUAAUCUAGUUUCAUGGAGCUCAAAGAAACAAUCUACCGUCUCAUGCUCAAGUACUGAAGCUGAAUACCGUAGCUUAGCUAAUGCUACUUCUGAAUUAAUAUGGUUGCAAUCUUUACUUAAGGAGCUUCGAAUCUAUCAAACUAAAAUUCCAGUCAUCUGAUGUGAUAAUCUGAGCACAGUGGCACUUAGUGCUAAUUCAGUUUUACAUUCUCGUACAAAGCAUUUGGAGCUUGACCUUUACUUUGUUAGGGAACGAGUUCUUAAUAACACUCUUGCUGUCCAGCAUGUUCCCGCAUUAGAUCAAGUUGCAGACAUCCUCACAAAACCUCUUGCUGUUCAACAUUUUACUUGGUUGAAGCACAAACUCAGGGUUCUUUCUCCUACCACCCUUCGUUUGCGGGGAAAUAUUAGCAAAGAACAAAUCUGACCUGCUGAUACUUGCAAAUCCAUUGUAAAUUGGUAUUUGUAAAUGUGUACACCUGUUGCAAUCACAAUGCAUUUAGUUAGGCAAUUAGGAAACGUG
rnacentral:lncRNA from 1 species